rnacentral:rRNA from 1 species
UACAGAGGGGGCAAGCGUUGUUCGGAAUUACUGGGCGUAAAGGGCGCGUAGGCGGCCGCCUAAGUCAGACGUGAAAUCCCUCGGCUCAACCGGGGAACUGCGUCUGAUACUGGGUGGCUUGAAUCCGGGAGAGGGAUGCGGAAUUCCAGGUGUAGCGGUGAAAUGCGUAGAUAUCUGGAGGAACACCGGCGGCGAAGGCGGCAUCCUGGACCGGCAUUGACGCUGAGGCGCGAAAGCCAGGGGAGCAAACGGG